GUCAAAAGUAGGUUGUGAUACAUACGUACCUCCAAGUAAUGCUUAGACCUGCAUAUUUACUGGACAAGAAAUAAGCAACUAUAAGCAUUAUAACCACAUUCAUAUCUUGUCAAACCUUGAGACACAUUUGUUACAGAAAGUAAAGAACUAUUCACAUUUCUUUUACAGGAAGCCAGGCCAGUAGCGUUCUGCCACAGGUCGAAGCAACUUUGUGGAAUUUGCCAAAGUACGAUAAAGAGUGAACAAUUCAAACUAUUCUUCGAAAAAGGACGGAAUUAUGUCAUCCAAACAAACCGGGGGCGCCGGAAGUAGCAGGGGGCAGCCGUGUCAAAACGAGUGCGGAUAUGACCCGUCUAAUCGAAAACACAACGAGGAGCAUUGGCAAGGCUCGAAUGACCCUCGCGGGACAAGCCGUGGAGUCACAUGAAAUUCAAUUCACACUACUACAACGUGAUUGAUCGUCAGAUUGCUGAAAAUCAUCACACUCGGUGUUUGGGCCAGCCUGGAAACACGCAAUACGCCAAAACGUACCCAAAGUAAGGACUCCUCGGAUGCCUGGAUGGAAUUCUGUCCAAAUUUACUUACUUUUUAUUUGCAUAGCGUUGCCCACAAGAUAAAUUAACUUGUGCAUUUAUAAUUAAUUUUAGAAUAAUUUGUAAUGCAAAAAACCUUAUAUAUGAAUUUCCUAAAAUUGCAACGUUCCAAUAAAAUUUGGCGACAUAUCUACCCGUCCAAUUUCCAUCAAAUUUG